AGACGAAUUCUGGGAGAGACUGCCGAAGCCCCACUGGCUUGUCAGGCAGCGCCGAAGGAGCAGAUGCCUCUAAAUCUCUCAGGCAAAAGGGCCAGAAUUUGUGA
rnacentral:ncRNA from 2 species